rnacentral:rRNA from 1 species
UACGGAGGGGGCCAGCGUUGUUCGGAAUCAUUGGGCGUAAAGGGCGCGUAGGCGGCCGAUCAAGUCGGAGGUGAAAUCCCUGGGCUCAACCCAGGAACUGCGUCCGAUACUGGUUGGCUUGAAUCCGGGAGAGGGAUGUGGAAUUCCAGGUGUAGCGGUGAAAUGCGUAGAUAUCUGGAGGAACACCGGUGGCGAAGGCGACAUCCUGGACCGGUAUUGACGCUGAGGCGCGAAAGCCAGGGGAGCAAACGGG